rnacentral:rRNA from 1 species
UACGAAGGGGGCUAGCGUUGCUCGGAAUCACUGGGCGUAAAGCGCACGUAGGCGGACUCUUAAGUCGGUGGUGAAAUCCUGGAGCUCAACUCCAGAACUGCCUCCGAUACUGGGAGCCUUCGAGUCCGGGAGAGGUGAGUGGAACUGCGAGUGUAGAGGUGAAAUUCGUAGAUAUUCGCAAGAACACCAGUGGCGAAGGCGGCUCACUGGCCCGGUACUGACGCUGAGGUGCGAAAGCGUGGGGAGCAAACAG